UACGAAGGGGGCUAGCGUUGUUCGGAAUCACUGGGCGUAAAGCGCACGUAGGCGGACGUUUAAGUCAGGGGUGAAAUCCCAGGGCUCAACCCUGGAACUGCCCUUGAUACUGGACGUCUCGAGUCCGGGAGAGGUGAGUGGAACUCCGAGUGUAGAGGUGAAAUUCGUAGAUAUUCGGAAGAACAACGGUGGCGAAGGCGGCUCACUGGCCCGAUACUGACGCUGUGGUGCGAAAGCGUGGGGAGCAAACGGG
rnacentral:rRNA from 1 species